rnacentral:rRNA from 1 species
CCCACAUGCGUCGACGGGUAGCCGGCCUGAGAGGUGACCAGGCCACACUGGGACUGAGACACGGCCCAGACUCCUACGGGAGGCAGCAGUGGGGAAUCUUGCACAAUGGGCGAAAGCCUGACGCAGCGACGCCGCGUGGGGGAUGAAGGCCUUCGGGUUGUAAACCCCUUUCAGCAGGGACGAAGCGAAAGUGACGGUACCUGCAGAAGAAUCACCGGCCAACUACGUGCAGCACCCGCGGCU